GGGCGCUCCGCCUCGGCCGCGGCCCCCCGCCCGGCCUCGCCGUUCCCGUCUCUGAAAUGGGUCUCGGAGGGCUGUUGGGGGCACUCCGGCUGAGAGCGCCCCAGAGUGCCCGGGGCCGCACGCGGAGCGCGGGAGCGCCCGAGCCUCGGGCUGCCGGGAUGUGGCUGCGAGUUGGCUGGACCAGCUCCGUCCCCGUCGCCCUCUCCCUCCUGUGCCUUCCCUGUGGGGCCCCAUUAUUAUGGGUCCCUGCUGCCCCAUGCCUGUGGCUCCCUUGUGCUGCAUUCUGGUCGUUCCUUCUCUGCUGCCCCUGUUGCCAACUGCAUCCUCUUCUCAGCUCCCCCGGGGCCUCCUUAGCUGGGAAGUGCCGACUCCUUGCCUUUUUGUCCCAGGUACUUAAAGUGCAGUUUUCAGUGCUUGCUGCCUUUGGGGUCCAGUCUAUUCCUCUUCCUAUCCUCCUUUCCUUCCCUCUUUCGUGCCCCCACACAAUGAUGAGUGGCUGGUGACCCACACAGUUUUCUUUUUGGUGCUAAGUGUAUCACCCCAGCGACUUUCCUCAACUUGCAGAUCCCCUGGUGGUACUUUGUUAAAAGGUUGAAGUGGGUUUCCUUUUACACGCACAUUGAAUAGGUUGAUUCCAAACAGGAAUUCGUUGUUUAAAUGACCAAGGAAGGGCCCGAUUGAAUUGGCAAAGGGUUUGGUGAGGGCCAUACCCAGUUGUAAUCUUAUCUCGAAAAUGACUUAUUAUUGAUGGAACUAGUUAAAGACUUCAGUGGUUCAUGUCAUUAGCACCACCCCAGAGAAGAUCAUUCAUCAGAUUAAUAGAGUUUUAAGUAGUAUAUCAAAGGAUUAGGGCUGGAUUCCCCCNNNNNNNNNNNNNNNNNCUUCUUUUCUUAACACCACCAUGAGUUGCACAGUAAACGUGCUAAAUAGCUCUUGGUAGAACUGAUGAUAAAAUAGAGGCAUCUUCUUUAUGGUGAAUUUGAAACCAUGCAAUUUUGUAAAAUAUUAGAAUCUAAAUCAAAGCUGUUCUCCAUUGAAAGCAUCUGUGUUUCAAGG
rnacentral:lncRNA from 1 species